GUGUCAGCAGCCGCGGUAAUACAGAGGUGGCAAGCGUUGUUCGGAAUUACUGGGCGUAAAGGGCGCGUAGGCGGCCCACUAAGUCAGACGUGAAAUCCCCCGGCUUAACCUGGGAACUGCGUCUGAUACUGGAGGGCUUGAGUAUGGGAGAGGGAUGUAGAAUUCCAGGUGUAGCGGUGAAAUGCGUAGAUAUCUGGAGGAAUACCGGUGGCGAAGGCGGCAUCCUGGACCAUUACUGACGCUGAUGCGCGAAAGCUAGGGGAGCAAACGGGAUUAGAUACCCCGGUAGUCCUAGCCCUAAACGAUGAAUGCUUGGUGUGGCGGGUAUCGAUCCCUGCCGUGCCGAAGCUAACGCAUUAAGCAUUCCGCCUGGGGAGUACGGUCGCAAGGCUGAA
rnacentral:rRNA from 1 species